GACUGCAGUGAUGACCUUAGAAAAAUUCAAGCUCAACAGACCGGAAUGCAGGGCUCUUAAUUGAGUUUUGCGUGUCGAUAACCCGCUGACUGAGCAGUC
rfam:Helianthus annuus linkage group 14, whole genome shotgun sequence.